GGCCUAGUGGUGUAGCGGUUACACGUCCUCUGUUAGUGGUUUAAUUUCCAAAUCCCUGUGCAUAUUAGGAGGAAGUCCCUGGUUCGAGUCCGGGUUAGGCCU